GCCCUUCGGGGUACUCGAGCGGCGAACGGGUGAGUAACACGUGAGCAACCUGCCCCAAGCUUUGGGAUAACCCUCGGAAACGGGGGCUAAUACCGAAUAUUACUUCUGGCCGCAUGGCUGGUGGUGGAAAGUUUUUCGGCUUGGGAUGGGCUCGCGGCCUAUCAGCUUGUUGGUGGGGUGAUGGCCUACCAAGGCGACGACGGGUAGCCGGCCUGAGAGGGCGACCGGCCACACUGGGACUGAGACACGGCCCAGACUCCUACGGGAGGCAGCAGUGGGGAAUAUUGCACAAUGGGCGGAAGCCUGAUGCAGCGACGCCGCGUGAGGGAUGACGGCCUUCGGGUUGUAAACCUCUUUCAGCAGGGACGAAGCGAGAGUGACGGUACCUGCAGAAGAAGCACCGGCCAACUACGUGCCAGCAGCCGCGGUAAGACGUAGGGUGCGAGCGUUGUCCGGAUUUAUUGGGCGUAAAGAGCUCGUAGGCGGCUUGUCGCGUCGACCGUGAAAACUUGGGGCUCAACCCCAAGCCUGCGGUCGAUACGGGCAGGCUAGAGUUCGGUAGGGGAGACUGGAAUUCCUGGUGUAGCGGUGAAAUGCGCAGAUAUCAGGAGGAACACCGGUGGCGAAGGCGGGUCUCUGGGCCGAUACUGACGCUGAGGAGCGAA
rnacentral:rRNA from 1 species